GUCACAUGCAGCCAAACUGACAUGGGUUCUAAGAUUUACCUUUUCUGUCCACACAUCUUAGAGAGAAGGUAAUUUUAUCCUUGCCUGUUCCAAUGCAGUGUAAAUGGAUCUUUAUUCUUCAUAGGUUUAUUCCCUGAUUAAUGGGGACAGUUUGAAUUAAAUUCUCUCUCAUUAAAAUGAGUACUCUUUCAAAUAGUACCUAGAUAGUCGUUGUGUAUCCAUUUCUCCCUAGUCAGCUCUUGUACUUAGGAGAAAGCUGAUCCUUAGCUUUGGGGUGUUUCCUUUCGGUUUGUGUCAAUUAACAUAAAAGAUAACUGUGCACCAGCGGCCCGUGACCUAAGCAUGAGCUGUUCCUGCAGCCAACAUAGAAUUAGUAAUCUGCAAAAGACAUAGUGACGAGACAGCAUCUCUUAGCAUCUGGGUCAAGAAAACUUGUACUUUAUUCCUCAAUUGGACUUCCAGAGCUUCUCCUGUACCUGCAGUUUCUCACGAUAAUCAGCUCACAAUAGUCCUUAUGCCAAAGAGGCAUGUGUGGAGGUGCCAUAUUCUGGUCUCCUACAACAUUCAGUAAUGGUCAAGAUGGUUGAUGCAGGAAACAGAUGGAGGGGCAGAAGUUGAUACUCAUCUCAUUAGAUCCAAAGAAGCCAAAUGGUGGCCAUCACCUGUGACAUGAAGAGGGUAUAUUUUAUGGAACUGGACAGCUUUCAGAAUCACAAGCAACCUCUUCAAAAUGUGAUCUACUGAAACGUGCUUGAAAGAGAGAAUAGGAGUGAGGCGGGCAAAGGAAGCAGAAGCCAUUGUGAACUGCCCUAGAGAAACCUUGGGCAUCUUUUUGUUGGGCAAAGUGGUAGAGGCUGAAACGGGGAAUAGCAUGUAACAUUUUAUUUGACUGAAAUAAACAGCUGUUUGUUUUUUUUUUCUUUCAUAUGUAAGAUAGACAAAAGGUGUUUGACAGAUAAGGAUUGGGGCAAUGUUGGUAUGAGUUCAGCUUUUUAGUUUGUUCUUUAAAAGUGGCCAUCAAGAUGUGGGUGUAAGGUAUUUCACAGUGAUUUGCAUUCAUUCUCAUUGCUGUCACCAUCAAGGCCCAGUUACUCAAUAUCCAAGUUUGUUUUUGUUGUAAUUCAAACAAAAUAAAUACAAGUAGCAGGGCUUUCCAUCCUUCCUGGGAAUAUUGUGUGGGUGCAUCUCAGUGAAUGCCAACUGCUUUCAAAUAAAAUGUGCCAUCUGAAGGAGCACAGUUUCCACUCCAGACCUGCAUGUACAAGACGCAAAACAAGGCACUAGCUGGCUUAGGGGAGUCAUGCCUGAGAGAACGAGUUGUAUAUAAAACUCUGCUGAGGCUGAAAAUAGCACAGAUAUGAAAGACAGAAGCAAAAGAUAUCGGGUGUCCUAAAGUGCCAGAUGCCCAGGUCACUUAAAAGUGGAUGACUCAGAGUCACACAGAGUAGCAGCAUGCUGGGAUCUUUGAGGAAAGCUGACCAACCACAGAGAAGGAAAGGCAAAGUGAUUCCGCAGAGAAUUGAACCAAAUACAAAUUUGCCUUUGUUUUUCAUCCCACAGAAUUUCCUCUUCACCCAUGAGGUUUAUAGCUAUUUUCACAUGACCAUCCACUGAAAGGAAAAUAAAUCUGAUCCUGUCCCAUCUACUCGAAAUGCCUUGUCCUUAGGCCACUCAGCUUGAUCCUCGUAAUAAAAUCACAUAGAAUGGAAUACAUUUUAAGGCAAAAAUGUGUAUGGCUAAUUAGGAUAUUUAUGUAUUGAUAAGAUAAAGAUAGAUGAGAUGCUGGGAGAAUAAAAUAAUUAUAAAUCUUACAACAUCAUGUCAAAGUAUAUGGUAUAUGGUCAAAGUAUAUGGUAUAAAACUACAAAACUGCUAGAAAAAAAUUACAAAAUUAUGAGAGAACUUGCACCUCUUUCAAUCAUGGGUAGAAAAGGCAGCAAAAAAGUUAAUGGGAAUUUAGAAGAUUUAGGCAACAUAAUAAUGUUGAUUUGGUACAUGUAUAAGCCUGAAACUAACAGAUGAUAUAAAACCUUAUGGAUGCCACUGAACUGUGAAAUGUACACAUAAAAAUGCUUAACAUAGCACAUUUUAUUAUAUAUAUCUAUAUAUUUUAUCACUGUAGGGGAUAAAAAAAUAUUUUUUUCUCAGUGAUUGCUAGGUUUAUGCCUGAGGCCUCCCUAAUAACGGAAAGAUUAACAAGAGAUAAACACACAAAUUUGUUUAAUAAAAGUUUCAUUGGAUAUAGGAACCUUCACAAGAAAAUGAAGAUCCAAAGAAACAGGUAAACCUGUAUGCUUUUACAGGUUUACAGGGUGGCCGGCGCCUGCCCUCAGAAUGUUUGGAAACUAAGAAACAUACAUAAAAUAAUUCAAAAAAAAUUUAAAAAAAAAGGGAAAAAAGGAAAAAGAAAUCACAAGAAAUAUUAGAAAAUAUUUAGAAGAAAAUGUAAAUUCCAAGGGAAUAUUUGUGAAAUAUACAUAAAUCAUUCAAUAGAGGGAAUUUUAUAGCCUUAAAAUACAUGCACGAAGAAAUAAAUCUUUCCUGGAUUUCUUUUAUUCCUGCAAAAUUCUGGUUCCCUGAACCACUGAAAUGGAUAUAAUAUGAAGCUAGAGAAUGUUUUCCUUUCCCCCCAAAUAUUUUACUUUUUGCACGUCUUGAGUAUUAAACUGCGGUUAUUUGUCUUCUUUUAGUUGGAACUAAUUCCCUUCCAUCUAAAGGAAAACAAAAGUGUUUUUUUAAUUAAAAAAUUUUAAUUUAUUUUUCUUCU
rnacentral:lncRNA from 10 species